rnacentral:sRNA from 1 species
GUGGAGUUUGGGAUCUGAGCUUGGAGCCCAUUUGUUUCUGGCAGUUCCGCUCAUAUUUUCCACUUGAAGACAUCGCCUCCCUUCCUUCCAAGCUGGGAGACCAGAAGUCAACAACAGGAGGGUGGAGAGGCCGGGUCUCACAAUCCGCUUGGCUGGGGAGUCCACUGAGGUUCUUGCAUCCUGAAGCAAACCAUGGAGAGCUGGUGGGGACUUCCCUGUCUUGCGUUCCUGUGUUUUCUAAUGCACGCCCGAGGUCAAAGAGACUUUGAUUUGGCAGAUGCCCUUGAUGACCCUGAACCCACCAAGAAGCCAAACUCAGGUCUUGUUGCCUUCGUUCCCCGGUACUACUGAAUCGUCCAGUUUAAGAGGGAUAAAGUGGCGUCGCACAGGAGCGAGGAUGGAGAGCGGCGACUAGGCGGCUAUGGAGAGGUACAGCGUCCAGUUGCGCCCAGCCACACUGCAGGACGCCGCCCCCGCCACACUACACCUGAUACCCUGCGGCCCACCACGGUGUGGCGCUUCAUCACGCCUGCCAUCCGCCAGGGCCCCGAGGGACUCUUAAGUGUAGUUUCGGGGCCGCAGUCUACGGGGCGACGAGGUGGCAGUGCCGUCCGGCCUCGUGGGAUACGUGAUGGUGACUGAACAGGAGGAGGUGUCGAUGGGGAAGCCAGACCCCUGGCGGGGUUCCGGGAGUGACAACCAAGAAGAGGAACCUCUGGAGCGGGACUUUGACCGCUUCCUCGGAACCACUACCAGCUUCAGCCGCUUCACCCUGUAGGGCAUGGGGCUUCACCCUGUGGGGCACCCUGUGGGGCUUCCUUGGCCCGGAAGCCAAACUGCGUGGGGCCUUAACUUGGCCCAGCCUCGCGGCAACGAUUCACGCGCAGGUGCCCAAGGACACAGAACCAGAGCUUGAAAUUCAAAGCCGCGAACCCUUUACAGCAGUAAACCAGCUCCUUACUUUGUAGCCACUGGUUCCAUCACCCCAGUAAAGGAGUUCUUCACAGCACACAUUCACAAAAGAUAAAGUGGUGAAUUUUAUAUUCUUAUAUACAUAUGUCCAACCAUCUAUAUGUUUUUAAGAAGGCAAAAAAGACCUCCCAGAUGCAUAUAUUACAGGACGGGGUGUGUGAGGAGACUCACUUGGGGGUGGCAGUCAACAAAAUUUAAAUAAAGACACGAGAUUUUAUUAUUUUUCUGUCUACAGCUCCUAGGAUAGUGUGUGACAUGUAGUAGGUUCUCAGUAUACUUCUCUGGUACUUAAAUUAAUGAAAUGUGUAAACAUGCCUCUGGGUUCAGAAAAACAAACUCAACCACUUAAAAAAAAAAAAAGGAAAAAAGUGUUGGUUCUCCUGUAAAGUAAUAAACCUACAUGCAAAAAUAAGGAUGCAGGGGGAGGCCGAGAGCAUUAAAUUUGCCUCUAUAAUAUCAUAUCAACACAUUUUAAUCUCUCAACCAGGGCUAAUAAUUCACUCACUGUCUCCAGGGGACU